GACGAACGCUGGCGGCGUGCUUAACACAUGCAAGUCGAAGAUAUGGGCGAACAGGUGAGUAAUACGUGGUUGACCUGCCCUCCUUUUUGGGAUAAGCAUUGGUAACGGGGUCUACUACCGCAUAAAGGGGCAUGGGCUCGCGGCCUAUCAGCUUGUUGGUGGGGUGGUGGCCUACCAAGGAGGUGACGGGUAGCCGGACUGAGAGGGUGACCGGGAACAUUGGGACGGAGAGACGGCCCAGGCUGCUAAGGGAGGGAGAAGUGGGGGAUAUGGCACAAUGGGCGACAGCCUGAGGCAGCGACGCCGCGUGGGGGAUGAGGGCGUUCGGGUUGUAAAUCUCUGUCGCAAGAGAACGGGUAGGUGGCGAAGAAGCGCCGGCUAACUACGUGCCAGCAGCCGCGGUAAUUC
rnacentral:rRNA from 1 species